CCCUUAGAUGUUCUGGGCAGCACGCGCGCUACAAUGGUCUUCGCAAACGGAUGCAUUCUCGAAGGAGAAUGUCAAUCUUGGAAUCUAUGCCUUGGUCGGGACAGUUGCUUGCAAUUUUUCGACUCGAACCAGGAAUUCCUUGUAAUCGUGAUUCAUCACAUCACGAUGAAUACGUCCCUGCCCUUUGUACACACCGCCCGUCGCUCCUACCGAUCGAAGAGUUAGGUGAAUUGUUUUGAUCGAUAAGAUUUGACUAUGGUCAACUCUCGUUGUGAAAUUCUGUGAAUCUGACUGUUUAGAGGAAGGAAAAGUCGUAACA
rnacentral:rRNA from 1 species